rnacentral:rRNA from 1 species
CAGCAGCCGCGGUAAUACGAAGGGGGCUAGCGUUGCUCGGAAUGACUGGGCGUAAAGGGCGCGUAGGCGGCGAUCAAAGUCAGGCGUGAAAUUCCUGGGCUCAACCUGGGGGCUGCGCUUGAUACUUGGUUGCUUGAGUGGGGAAGAGGGUCGUGGAAUUCCCAGUGUAGAGGUGAAAUUCGUAGAUAUUGGGAAGAACACCGGUGGCGAAGGCGGCGACCUGGUCCUUGACUGACGCUGAGGCGCGAAAGCGUGGGGAGCAAACAGGAUUAGAUACCCGUGUAGUCCCUGUCUCUUAUAC